UAGCUGUAAACCAAAGUGUGUACUAACAGAAAUUAAGUAAUAAACAAAGUGAAUUGAAAUAUCUUAAUAACUUUAGGAAAACAAAUCAAACGAGAUUCUAUAAUUAGUGAGAACGAAAGUAGAGAAGCCUAAAAGUAGAACGGACAAUCGGUUUGAAUAAAGGGGAGCCUUCCUCUAAGGCUAAAUAUGGUAUUACAAGCAAUAGAGAGAGUACCGUGAGGGAAC
rnacentral:ncRNA from 1 species